AUGGAAUAUAAAAUUCCCAGGAACAAUGUAUUUUACAUGAAAGUGCAUUCCAUUUCAAUGUGCUAUCUGCUCAAGGUUUUGAUCAAGCAUUUUAUUGGAUUUAUGUACCAAAAGUGUAUCUGGCAAGAGACUGACCACGAGGGGGAGUAUUAUAGCUGCUCUGUGAGACUGCCUGAAGUACAACAUACUUUGAGGGAUAAUUAGCACAUUUCCAGCUCUCUGUUAACCACUCAGGACACCAGAGCAUUCUGGUACUUGGAGCAAAUAACAGUAGACAUGCUGUGAAAUAAAAAGGGGUAUAAUGAAGAACAGAAACCCCUAAACAAGAUCUGAGAGGAAGCAGCAAUCUUGAUUUUCAGGUCAGUGAAGUGGACACUUCUCCAAGAGACAAGCAGGGAAUAGUAGGGAGAAGCUCAUACAACAUGAAGUAACUGAGAGGAGGAAGUGAUCUACUUGGUAACUUUCUGUUUUUACUUCUGUAAAUUACUUUCUGUAAUUACUUAUUACUGUUGCUA
ensembl:lncRNA